rnacentral:pre_miRNA from 1 species
AAUAUACUCCCUCUGUCCAUGUCUCAAGUUUGUCAAAUUUUGAAUGUAUCUAAACAUGAUUUAGUGUAUAGAUACAUUUAAAUUUAGUCCAAAUUAAGACAUCCUUUGUUGACGGAGGGAGCAGCUU